ncrna:unclassified sequences DTF3800-V RNA
AUAUCAGAGCGGUAAAUCCGUUGUGAGUUGUUUAAGGUGUUCCCUUCCAUCGGUGGGCUAUAGCCUUAACGUUAUAAUUCAUAAGGUUCGCUCUUUUU